AACGAACGUUGGCGGCGUGGAUUAGGCAUGCAAGUCGAACGCGAAAGAGGGGGAAACCCCUCGAGUAGAGUGGCGAACGGGUGAGUAACGCGUGAAGAACCUGCCUUCAACAGGGGGAUAAUACUCCCAACGGGGUGCUAAUACCGCAUGAGACCACGGGUCUGCAUGGACCUGAGGUCAAAGGUGGCCUCUGCUUGCAAGCUACCGGUUGAAGAUGGCUUCGCGUCCCAUUAGCAGUUGGCGGUGUAACGGACCACCAAGGCGACGAUGGGUAGCUGGUCUGAGAGGAUGGUCAGCCACACUGGGACUGAGAUACGGCCCAGACUCCUACGGGAGGCAGCAGUCGAGAGGCUUCGGCAAUGGGGGAAACCCUGACCGAGCGACGCCGCGUGGAGGAUGAAGGCCCUUGGGUUGUAAACUCCUUUUGUUGGGAAGAAAUGCGAUCAGGUGAACAAUCUGGUCGUUUGACGGUACCCGGNGAAUAAGCUCCGGCUAACUCCGUGCCAGCCGCCGCCGUAAC
rnacentral:rRNA from 1 species